rnacentral:rRNA from 1 species
UACGUAGGGACCAAGCGUUGUUCGGAUUUACUGGGCGUAAAGGGCGCGUAGGCGGCAAUUCAAGUCAUCUGUGAAAUCUCCGGGCUUAACUCGGAACGGUCAGAUGAUACUGCUUUGCUAGAGUGCGGAAGGGGCAAUCGGAAUUCUCGGUGUAGCGGUGAAAUGCGUAGAUAUCGAGAGGAACACCGGUGGCGAAGGCGGCGACCUGGGUAGAUACUGACGCUGAGGUGCGAAAGCGUGGGGAGCAAACAGG